GACUCAGCAUGGUGCAGUGGUUUGAAUGUUAGACUGGUGACUCUGGAGACCAGGAUUCGAGUCCCAGCUAGGCCA